UACGAAGGGGGGCUAGCGUUGUUCGGAUUUACUGGGCGUAAAGCGCACGUAGGCGGAUCUUUAAGUCAGAGGUGAAAUCCCAAGGCUCAACCUUGGAACUGCCUUUGAUACUGGAGAUCUUGAGUUCGGGAGAGGUGAGUGGAACUGCGAGUGUAGAGGUGAAAUUCGUAGAUAUUCGCAAGAACACCAGUGGCGAAGGCGGCUCACUGGCCCGAUACUGACGUGAGGCACGAAAGCGUGGGGAGCAAACAGG
rnacentral:rRNA from 1 species